UCCCCCAGGCUCGGCCUCCAGCGACUCGGCAGCUCGCGGCACCGCGCGGAGCAGCUAGGCCCCGCCGCGCCGGGCAGGAUGCGCGGCCGGCAUCGGCAGUUCGUCACGUCCCGCCCGGCCCCGCACGCCCGGCGGCUCCUCGGAAGGCCCAGAGGGGCCGAGCCCGCCCCAGGCCGCGUGUGGAGAGAAGGAAAAGGAGCCGCGGAGCGGGGCGGGCUCCGCCGUUAUGGCCGCCCCAGCAGGAGGUAACCCCGCGCCUGGGAGGCCCAAGCCGGGCGGAGGCAGAAGGCGACGCGGGGUUACGGCCCAGUCCGCGGGGAGGGGGGUGCGGGAGCCCGGCGCAGGGCGAGGACUGCCGGAGAAGGGCAGUAGAGAGGGCGGCCGCACUUACUCUCGUUUAACACCUCCAGCAGCUCGGCGCAGCUCUCACACAUUGUUCAUUAACAGCAGCAGCCGCCGCCGCCGCCUCCUCCCAACCAUUGAUUGAUCCGCGCGGGGCCGCCGAUCGGUAUUCCUGCUAGUGUGGAAUGGAUCGGUAGCUGCACAACCUGAGUGCAUCAGCUGCAUUUGCAAAAAGAUAGUAUUUUUUAACAGAAAAUAUAGUUCCACACUGUGCAUUCAGAGUUGAAUUUGUGUUUGUUUCUCUUUACCCUCUUCUUCACUUAGACCUUGAAGUUCAUUUGAUCAUAGAUCCAAAAUUAACUGCCAGGGCAUCAGUUAAAUUUCUGACAACUCAGCUCUUUGAUCUGAUUGCAAAGCCACAUAAACACCACAGCCAGCACAAGAAAGGGGCCUUUUGGAUCACAGUAUCACAUGCUAAGUUCAGUAUAUAAAACAGAGGAAUAUGAGUGACCUUGUUCCCACUUCUGUGCAGACUAGAAUAUUGUGAAGUAAAUUUUACAGCACACAAUCUCAUUUUUGUUUAAAAAAAAAAAAAAACGAAAUUGUAGUUUUAAAAUUAAAUACAACAUCAGCUACUCUUUCUUCUAUCCAUUGCUUAUUUUCUCUUGGCCUUUAUUCUCUCCUCACGUAGCAUCACUGCAAUGUGGUUUGAUCCCUAGGAGGCCCUCUUUCCUUCCCCUGACUGUGAUGCUGCUCUUAAUCAGGAAAUGCUUCCUUUAGUAAGCUGACAGCACAGUUCUGAAGUAGUAAUUGAAAAGAAAUGCAAUACUUGAGCAAAAGUAAAAUUCUAAAUCCAAAUGUUGUACAAGGUGAAUGUAUGUUUACAGUGUCAGUGUCCCAAGACCAAACUACUAACUCAGUCCAGGCAAUUGUGUUUUGUUUGUUUGUUUAGGUUAAAGUUGAAAUUAACCAUUCAUCAGAAGAAAAAAAUCCUGAUGUGGGUUAGGGGUCCGGUGGUCUUUCUAAACCUGCAUUUAAAUAGCCUGAGGUUUUUACCCAGCCUAAUUCUGGGAUCGUCUCUUACAGUAUGUUUCAAUUUUCAUUUUGAUUAUUUCAGACUGUAAAGAAGUUGUCACAUAACUGAUAUACUUUUGAUUCAAAAGCAAGCAGAACUCUUGGACUCUUCACUGGUAAAGCAUGUAUUUAUGACUAUCUUUGUAGAAGUUUGCUCUAAUGAUUGCACAUUGGGAAACAGUUAAUCUAAGAAGCAAAAUGCUCACAGGUAGAGCUCUGGGGAGAGAAGGCUGAUGCAAAAAAACAUAACAAAACAAACAAAAAAAAACCCCACAAAACUCAAACACCUCACGCUAGAUGUAAUGCUACAGAUUCCAAACAAGAAAAUUGAUCAUUACUGUCGUUAGCAAGUCAUUAAAAUAACAGCUGUGGUAGUAAGCAGGCUGCAGUUUUUUCCAUCACACAAAAUUGUAGUCACACUGAGAUAAAACAAUUCUAACUCCUCUCCUUCAUCUUCAGUUGGUCCAUUUUCCCCAAGUCUUUACAUGAAGGAACCCACAGAUCGCAGAUUUGCCAACUAAGAAAAACUGAGACAGUUCACAAUAGAAAUAUAGGCUCUUCUACAUAUUUUGAUAGGGUAUUCAGAAAAGUGCUUUUUAACCCAAUAGAAGUGUAAAUCUAAGUGGAUCUUUUUAACUUAUGUCAUUCUUACCCAUAUUCUGAUCUGUGAAAACAUCCCUUCUUAACCCCAUCUUUGUUUUUCAGACUGCUUUCUUGUCCCUCUUGAACAGCAUGAAUAAACACAAGUAGACAUACGUAUGAAAAUGAAAAGCAAACACAGGGCAAGUAUUACACACCUGCAGUAGCAUUUGAUUCAUUUCAGAGUUCUAAUUUAGACAAGACAGGUGUCUUGGGGAGACUGCUGGCAGACUGCAUAGCUAUAUUCAGCUUUAAAAAAAACAACACAACCAAACAACAACGAAGAACACCGUAGUUCUGCAAAGCUGCUGUAUUUGAUAAAUGCAGCCAAUCUAUUGCAGCAUGUUAACAUGCUCCAUUGGGUAGUCCAAACAAUCUCACCCAAAUGCAUAAAUAUUCAAAGUAGAGAACACAGAGUCCCAACGCCAAGCUGAAUUCCCAACUGUUCACCUUUGUUCUAACAGGAAUAGUAGUAGAAAAGGUCUUCUUCUAUUCAGCCCUUGGUGUCAAAAGUUUAAGUUGAAGCAGUAUCACUUAUAUUUUCCCUAAGAACAUGUCACGUUUGUUUUUGAAUUUACCUGUGAAUGUGCAAAUUACCACAGAAAAUAUAGCUUAUUUGUAGAGGCUAGAAAUUCCAGAUAACUUUUCAAUUUCCUUACAUAGUAUUCGUACCACUAGAAACACAUGCAUUCACUGUAUUUUCACUUUAAUACUAGCUGGAUCUUUUCUCCCCAUACUCAAGAAAUGAUUCAUGAUUUCGGGUGCAUUUAGUAAUUAAUGUGCAUUGUAUGUAAAAUUUGAAAAAUGAUUGGCUAAGCCUUUUUCCAAGAGAACACUGCUGAUCAGUCAACUUCAGCAAUGAUCUCCUGAAUGUUAAAGUCUAAAUAGAAAUUCAGUUCCAUUAAAUAACGUACAGAGGUGUAUUCAUGAAGGGCAGGAAGGAGAGGUAUAUUCAUAUACUCAAUUUUGUAACCAAAACAGUUUUUAAAAGCAAUCUCUAACAUUUUGGUCUUGCCUUACUACAUUUGGAGUCAUACCUAGUAACACGGGAGAAGGAAGAGAACAAAAAGAACCUAGGCACCCAUACGAGCAAGAAAAUAGUGCCCCAUAAGUUUUGGAUGAGUAAUAAUCUAUCUAAAGGGACAGACAGUCUCAGAAGCACAGUUUAGCCUCUGUACAUUUUAAUGCUGUAAUAUUUGCAGCAUCUUUUCCUAAUACCACUCCCCUUCAUCCAAAGAAAUCCACAGCCAAAUUUCAUUGCUUUCCAGUGCUGAAGUCUAACUGGAAAUAACUUCAAGCUUCCUUGAGAGAUGAACAUUAUUCUAAAGCUUUUUGCAUAAAUAUUAACUUUAUUGGAAAAUAGUUCACUUAACCAAUCAGAUUAACACACAGCAAAUUAUUCAAGUUAGAAAAAGAAAACUAACCUAAAAUGCUUUGGAAAAUAAUCUGCUCCAGUUACAGUAGCAAACACAUGGUAGCCUGAAACAAGCACUUCAGGGUGUCUUCAUCAGCUAACAGGCAAUCAAUUCAUGUAAACACAGAAAACACCCUGUAAUAUUUUUGUUAAUGAAUGUACCUAGAGUACACAGAAUUUUCUUUAAAAUCUUUAUAGAAAUAUGCACAAAGUAAACAUUGGUUUACAUAUAAUUACAAGUUGUAGUUAUUUUUAUGAUGGGUUCAUGCUUUUUAUCCAUUUAUUUUUAUUUCCAGAGUGUGCAUUCAAUGUAAUAUCUACAACCUUCUCAGGUGUACACUGUAAUAAUUUUUUGACAUACAGGAUAACUGCACUAGAAAUAGACACACCCUACCCCCCAAAUUUUGUCAAGAACUCUGCAUAAACUGAAUUUUCAUAGCAUCUGCAGAGAUCAGCAAAAGGCACCAAUUUAGAAGAUAACACAGCUUUUUUCAGAUUUAAAAGGGAAGUGAGAACUAACAUUAACAUUUUGUUACUAGAUAAUCUAAAAGGUAUCAAAAUAAUGAAAAACUCUUAUCUGAAUUGCAUUUUUAAACACUUCAGGUGUUUUUUGAAAGUCAAAUUCUUUAAUAUGAAUCAGACCAUAAGCCUUGCAAAUUUACUUCAACCUUGAAAAUGAAAGGUGCACGUAAAAGCACAGGUACGCUUUUCAUUCAAACUAUUUUCACUGCACACCUGAACUGAUCUAGUUCUGCGACUUGUAGAAGAUGGUCAUUCUGACAUCACACUUUUGGGGGUAUUUCCAUUGUAACAGUUUUCUUCUUGGUCUCCACAGCUUUCGAUAAUCUGCAGCUUUAUAAUGCUGUGACUAAGCCUGGUCACAAGCAAUUUUAGUAUCAUUCAACAGUACUUCAAACACUUCAAACUCCUUCUUAGGGUACGCAUUUUGCCUUACAACAACAAAAAUCUGUAAUUCAACAGGACAGAAAGACAUGAAAAAGCUUAAAGCAUGAGUUUGAGAAACAAAUGAAAUCUUUCAUCUAGCAAACUAACAAUUUUGGUAGGCUACAUUGUAAGUCCCAGUCAUAAAUGGUUUGAGGAACCUCAUCUCCACAGCCUAGCACUUUCAGAUUGCAGUAUUUGUGAUAAUAAAAGAUGUUCCAGCAGUAGUGGCUUUGGUUUUUUUUUUUUUUUUUUAAGGCCAGCUAAGU